GUGGUCCUCAAAGGCACUUUUUCGUGAAACCAUGUCCCUACAGAAUGAUUCUGCCUGGGCAACAUGGGCCAAAAAGCACCAGCUCUGCUCCCAAGUCCUUGAGGAAUCUCACAGGACUGGCAAGAAAAGAAAAAACACCAUGAGUGUUUUGGCUCUUGGACAGGAGCUCUUACCACGAGAUCUGUGGCCACGCUGCAUGGACUGUUUCCAAGAGCUCAGUAAAAGCUGUUAUUCCCCACAAGAAAUCCGUGGAGAAGGAUGGCCACUGCGGCCAAAAGCCAGUAAGACAAAGAUCUUUCCUCUGGUAUUAACAGCUCCCUCUCUCUAAUUCUUCUUAAAUAAGUAAAGGAGAUGCUAAAUUUACAACAUACUUUGCUAACAGCCAAGAGAAAGUUGGAGGGUGUUAAAACAUCCAACUCCUUCGUGCUGGUUUGGGAAUCCCAGCCUCCGAGUGACUUUUUCGAGCCCUUCUUCCUAUCCUGGUGUUAGCUAAAACCGGGGAAAAUCCGCCRGCGGCUGAACAGGUCUGCCUGGGGGCCCAGCAGCCGUGCCGGGGGCUUGCCGUCGCCGCCUGCCCUGCGCGCUGGGCAGGAGCCUGGGAACAGGCGCCUUGGGCCGUGGGCAGCGCCGUGCCUGCCGUCACCUCGGCCUCGGGGACACCGGGAGGGCACAUUUCCAUCGCCCCGUGCCCCCGGUGUAUCUACGUGUGAGGAAUGAGGAGAUUAAAAAACAGGGAGCCAGGAAACUGCCCAGUGCUAGCCAUGAGAUCCCACAAAGCGGACGAGCCAAAACGUGGCAUUUUUAUAGUGCGUUGUUUGAAAAUUCCUGCUGUGAGCACAGCCAGGAGAACGAGCACAACCGCUGAACCAGAAAGGGAGUUUUAUCACUGCCUGCAAACUCCAAGCAGAAUAACUCAGGUUGAAAGGGACCCGGGCGCAAAGCAGGGCUAACUCUGAAGAGUUGUCCAGGGCUUUGCACAGUCACCUCCCAAAGCUCUCCAAGGAUGGUGACUCCACCACCUCCCUGGGCAGCCGGCGCCAGUGUUACCCACCCUCCUGGGAAAAACAUUUCCCAUAUUCCCAACAGGGAUUUCCUUUGCGACUGUGGCUUCUUGUCCCUCUCUUUGCACCUCCAAGAAGAACCUGGCUCCACCAUCUCCGUAACCCCUUCAAGAAGCUGAAGACUUUGAGCAGGUCUCCUGGGAGCCGUCCCUUCUCUGGGGGAAGGACCUGGGCCCUGGGCGCCCCAUGGUCCCAUGGCUUGGCUCACCCCACCGUGCCACAGACCCCAGCCAGACACAGCGCCCCAGGAGACAGCGGGCAACCAGC
rnacentral:lncRNA from 1 species